UUGAAUAUAACCGUUAGUUAUUCAAAUCAUUUAAACUAUAUUCACAAUUCACAAGUAUAUAACCUAGUGAUUAGCAAUCACACAAAUAUCAUACCAUAUUUAAUGUUAAGACUUACACUUUCCUAUUUCCAAUUAACCACAACUUGCAUCAUUCAUGCACAUAUCAACAACUAUUUAACUAAACAACAUAAUAAGCACACCAAGCUAUAUAACAUGAGUACUUAUGAACUAUUACAAAACAAACUAAAAUCCCCUCAUUACAUGCCAUAUAAGCCAAGUUGAAUUCAAAAUUUACCAAGAUCCUCGAUAGUGUGACUUCUUCAGGUUGAUCCGAUCUCCGACUUCCCUAAAUAGUAUCUACAAGGAAACGAAACAAUAACAGGAGUAAGCUUUCAUAUAGCUUAGUAAAUUCGUCAAUUAAAAUGAUAAAGCUUACCGAAUAAACAUAAUAAAUCAAUUAGCAAGAUUAUUAAACAAAGUUCCUGUCAAUAAAGUUAUUCUCAAAAAUCCAGUCAAUCACAGCUCACAACAGGUGAGUAAUGCUCAGUAUAAUAGUACAAAUCAGUUCCACAUUUCAAUAAUUUUCAAAGAUCAAUAAACAUAGCCCGAUGAACGAUAAGUGGAUGCGAGAACACAGUUAACCAUCCAACACACCAAAUGCUCAUAAGAGCCAGUACCGUCCAACACACCAGAUAACACUGUAAAAUAACAUGAUAGCCUGCAAAAAAUGCAGGACCUCGGCAUAUCCAGUAAACAGAGAAUAUACAAAAAUCAUUUUCACUACUCAGAUCAAUCUCGUACUGCACGCAUAAUAACCUAUUGGCAUGACAAUUAUACUCUAUCCUACAUUCAUUAGUUCAGAGACAACAGAUUUUGGGACUAAUUAAAAACUUAACAAAAUUCUUUUUCAAUAAUUAAGAGUGGGAAUAGAUUUUUUUAAGAUUAAAUUUAAAUUCUAUACCUCACAAUACAAUAUUUUCUUGCCACUAACUUAAAAGGAUUUUAACCUUAACGAGAUUCCUUAAAUAUUAAAUAUAUAAAAAUACUGAUAAAUAAAAUUAUUCAACAGACCACUAUUCACCUUUUUUUUCUUUGAAAAUAACACUCAAUGCAAUGUUAUUAGGAAAGUUUAAAGGUUUAAAUACAAAGGAAACAACAAAAAUGAAAAAACAAAACAACAGCCUCAACACCGUUUUACCAUGCCAGCUAUCUGUCAGCAUAAUAAUCGCUGCAGUGGGCGGUGCCUCGAGAAUCCCUAAAGAACAUUUGCCUAGACUCUUAAACAAAAAGGAAAAACAAAAACAAAACCAUUUUCCACAACAAACCAUAUCAAAUCCUAAGAAAACACAAAUCUAAUUCCCUAAGACCUUUAGUCUACCCAUUCAUUUCAUUUGCUCUGAUGCACCGGAAAAUCCAUAUGUGGGAGUGGAAAUCCCUUAGAUUUCUCGAUUAGUUCUCUCUUCAUUUCCCCACUCCUCCAAUUCACUGAGCUCCUCGAAGUUUCUCUUGAAAUUAGAGACCAUACCCUCCGGAUUCAGAACAAAAACCCCAUCUUACCUUUGUAGCUCAUUUGAGAUGAUAGCCUUAACUUCUGGAAGGGCUUCUUCCACCAAGUAUCUCGGGAUUUCACACUGUCUCCCCCAACUCACCAUCUCGUGAGCCAUUAUUCACCUUAUUAAGAGAAAAGGAAAAAUGUUAGAUAGAAAACUUAUAUUUAAAUCAUACAUUGACUUAUUUAAAAUAGCAAUUAC
rnacentral:lncRNA from 1 species